AUUGAACGCUGGCGGCAGGCUUAACACAUGCAAGUCGAGCGAGUGGCGGACGGGUGAGUAAUGUCUGGGAAACUGCCUGAUGGAGGGGGGUAACUACUGGAAACGGUAGCUAAUACCGCAUACCAUCAGAUGUGCCCAGAGGGGCUUAGCUAGUGGGUGGGGUAACGGCGCACCUAGGCGCCGCUCCAUAGCUGGUCUGAGAGGAUGACCAGCCACACUGGAACUGAGACACGGUCCAGACUCCUACGGGAGUCAGCAGUGGGGAAUAUUGCACAAUGGGCGAAAGUCUGAUGCAGCCAGGCCGAGUGUAUGAAGAAGGCCUUCGGGUUGUAAAGUACUUUCAGCGAUGAGGCGUUACUCGCAGAAGAAGCACCGGCUAACUCCGUGCCAGCAGCCGCGGUAAUAC
rnacentral:rRNA from 1 species